rnacentral:rRNA from 1 species
ACAGCAGUCGCCACGGGAAUACGGAGGGUGCAAGCGUUAAUCGGAAUUACUGGGCGUAAAGCGCACGCAGGCGGUCUGACAAGUCAGAUGUGAAAUCCCCGGGCUUAACCUGGGAACUGCAUUUGAAACUGUCAGGCUGGAGUCUUGUAGAGGGGGGUAGAAUUCCAGGUGUAGCGGUGAAAUGCGUAGAGAUCUGGAGGAAUACCGGUGGCGAAGGCGGCCCCCUGGACAAAGACUGACGCUCAGGUGCGAAAGCGUGGGGAGCAAACAGGAUUAGAUACCCGUGUAGUCCCUGUCUCUUAUAC